UGUUAAAAUGUUUGCUUGUUUUCUAUAGGUGUGCAUCAUUUCACAGUUAUUGGCAAUGGUUCAAUGGUUUCAUCUGCUUUGAACAGUUUCUUCUCCAUCAUUAAGAGGAAUGGUUUAUGUAAUUUCUUCAAUCAACAGAAGUGGAAGCCUGAGUGUAAACCGAUGAAGGUGCAUAAAUUAACAAGGAAGGAGUUAACACCUCUGCUCUCAUAAUCUUACUGGUAACUUCUGUAUAGCUAAAAUAAUUCUUGUUGAUAUCAUAUUCUGAUAAUUCUAUACUCAGUGGAAAAAGAAAAAUACCUAGGCAUGCUUCUCCAUAUUAUUUGUUUUACAGUUCUCUUCUUUAGUUUUUAAUUUCUUAUCUUUUGGUGUCAUAAUUCUUUUUUUUUUUUUUUUGUAACCUUUCUAAAUUCUUCAUAUCUCUAAGUUGUGAAACCCCAACUAAAUAAAAUAUCUUAUCAGUAUUAUUGUUAAUAAUGAUUCUAUAUGUUUUUACUUUGGACCUUUGUUAUUCCCUUGUAGUACAUUAAACUUUUGGGGGUUACAUUAAUCCUUUUAAACC
rnacentral:lncRNA from 1 species